CUGUGGGUUUCUUGCUGAAGGAACACUGGUGUGAGUGACAGUUUAUCCCAUGUGCCCCAUACAUUUUAUUUUUAUUUUUAUUUUUAGGGCUGUGUCUGUGGCAUAUGGAAGUUCCCAGGCUAGGGGUCUAAUCAGAGCUGAAGCCACUGGCCUACAUCACAGCCACAGCAACAGAGGGUCUGAGCCCGCGCCUGCAGCCUAUACCACAGCUCACGGCAAUGCUGGAUCGUUAACCCGCUGAGCAAGGCCAGGGAUCGAACCCACAACCCCAUGGUUCCUAGUUGGAUUCAUUAACCACUGAGCCACGACGGGAACUCCUAUACUUUUUACCUUGUAGAACUUUUCUCUUUUCCUCUUUAUUGGUUUUGGUUGAAAUGUAACUCAAACACAGUAAAAUGUGCAGAAUUUAAGCGUUCAACUCAAUGUAUUUUUGCAUUUGUGUAUACCUGUGUAGUCACCCAAAUUAGGUACCUAGUAAGUCUCCCUCAUGCCUCUUCCAGAUACACUCACCCCAAGACUACCACUAUUCUACACUUUCACCGUAGGUUGGUUUUGCUAGCUUACAUCUUUAACUUUUGUGAAAUAAUUUCAAAUUUGUAGAAGAGUUGCAAGAGUCAUAUAAAGAACCCUGUAAAUCUUUCACCCAAACACAGCGUGUUUGAACAUUUUACCAAUCGCUUCUCGGCCUUUUGGCUAAGAUCAAGUGAACAUUUUACCACAUUUGUGCGUCUCUCUCUUUUCUGAAAAUUUAACAUUGGUGGAACACUGUUAUCUAAUCUGAAGAGUAUCUUCAUAUUUCUCCAGUUGUCUCUAUGAUAUCUUUUAUGACAGUUUUUCACUUUGAUAUAGGAUUCAGUCCAGGAUCAUAUCUUGCAUUUAGUUGUCAUGUCAUUUUGCUUCCUUUAAUCUGGAAUAGCUUUUCCUUAUCUUUUAUGAUGUUGAUAUUUUUUAAGAGUACAGGACAGUUGUUUUGUACAAUGGUUCUCAAUUUGGUUCUAUCUGAUUUUUUUCCCCUCAUGAUUAGAUUUCAUUAGGCACUUUCAGCAGAAAUACUAAAUAAGUGAUGUUGUCUCUUUAAAGCAUCACAAGAUGAGGCACCUGAUGUCAGUUUGUCCCACUGUUAGUGGUGCUAACUUAGAUCACUUGGGUAAGAUGGUGUCUGGCUCCUUUGUCUACUAUAAUCUACUCUUUCUCCUUUCUUUGUAAUUGAGAAGCGACACUGUGAGGCUAUGUAAAUAUCCUUUUCCUCUUCAUACUUUUGCCCAGCAGUUUUAACAUCCAUUAAUGAUUCCUUCCUGAAUUAACUAUCACUUUUGCAAAAUUAUUUCCUUGCCCAACUAUUCCUUUCACAUUUAUUUUUUUUACAUUAUAAGAGCUUUCCCUGCUCUCCUAUUUAUUUAUUAUUCAGUAUCUACUUAUGAAUUUUUAUUUUAUUCAAUGAGUCUUAAUCCAUUGUCAUUAUUCAUUUUGAUGCUCGAAUUCUCCCUGAUUUAGCCAGUGGGAGAUCUUUCAAGCUGGCUUCUCUGUCCUUUUGACAUGUCCUUGUCAUCUUUUGAUCAUUUCUUUACUUCCUGGCACAAAUAGAUGUUCUAGGCUCAAACUGUUCUUUCCAAGUCUCAACCCUGGAAUUGGACAUUUCUUCAAGGAGCUCUGAUUCUUCUUAGUUAAAUAGUAUUUAAAAGACAAGAUCAGUGCACCAAGUGACCUCAUUGCUACUGGGGUGUUAUUGCAUCAAGGCAGUUUCAUAUUGGUUUAACUUAACGUGGGCGUGUGUAUGCAUGGAUAAAACUGUGGGUUCAUACUGAUAACUCUAACUCUAAUCCUAUGUCCACAGGGUUCCUCUUUGUCCUCCCUCAUGAUGUGUUUUCUUCAUCUACAAUGAAAACUCUAGCUCCCAAGAACAUUAAUAUAUUUCCUCAUUUGCAUAGUCCUAAAAUGUAUACAAAAUACUUGCAGAAUUGAUACAUGCAUACUGCCAUGGGGAAAAAAAAGAAUCCAUUAAGUGCCUUAAGUAGAGUGAAGGAUUUUAACAGCCCUUUUUGUUUUUAAUCAGAACCUAUUUAGUCAAAGUACUGCGUUAAAGGUUUCUAGGAUUAGUUCUCUUCUCCCUUCAGAACAGUUAUAUUAUUUAUUUGAAAUAAGUUUGCUUAUUUGGGAGCUUCAUAUAGAGAGUGUCACACAAU
rnacentral:lncRNA from 1 species